rnacentral:ncRNA from 1 species
UCAGGUGGUCAGGUAGAGAAUACCGAGGCGUUCGGGUGAACUAUGGUUAAGGAACUCGGCAAAAUGCCCCCGUAACUUCGGGAGAAGGGGGGCCGACAUCUGGUGAUGAGCUUUGCGCUCUGAGCUGGGGGUGGCCGCAGAGACCAGCGAGAAGCGACUGUUUACUAAAAACACAGGUCCGUGCGAAGCCGUAAGGCGAUGUAUACGGACUGACGCCUGCCCGGUGCUGGAACGUUAAGGGGACCGGUUAGCUCCAUUUCGGUGGGGCGAAGCUGAGAACUUAAGCGCCAGUAAACGGCGGUGGUAACUAUAACCAUCCUAAGGUAGCGAAAUUCCUUGUCGGGUAAGUUCCGACCUGCACGAAUGGCGUAACGACUUCUCGACUGUCUCAACCA